CAUCCUACGGGACGCAGCAGUGGGGGAUAUUGCACAAUGGGGGGAACCCUGAUGCAGCAACGCCGCGUGAAGGAAGAAGGGUUUCAGCUCGUAAACUUCUAUCAACAGGGACGAAAGAAAUGACGGUACCUGAAUAAGAAGCCCCGGCUAACUACGUGCCAGCAGCCGCGGUAAUACGUAGGGGGCAAGCGUUAUCCGGAAUUACUGGGUGUAAAGGGUGAGUAGGCGGCAUGGUAAGCCAGAUGUGAAAGCCUUGGGCUUAACCCGAGGAUUGCAUUUGGAACUAUCAAGCUAGAGUACAGGAG
rnacentral:rRNA from 1 species